UAGGGAAUCUUCCGCAAUGGACGAAAGUCUGAUGGAGCAACGCCGCGUGAGUGAAGAAGGCUCUAGGAUCGUAAAACUCUUUUGUCAGGGAAGAACAAGUCGGGUAGUAAAUGACCCAACCUGGACGGUACCUAACCAGAAAGCCACGGAUAACUACGUGCCAGCAGCCGCGGUAAAACGUAGGUGGCAAGCGUUGUCCGGAAUUAUUGGGCGUAAAGCGCUCGCAGGCGUUCUUUUAAGUCAGAUGUGAAAGUCCUCGGCUUAACCGUGGAGGGUCGUUGGUAACUGGAAGACUUGAGUACAAAAGAGGAGAGUGGAAUUCCACGUGUAGAGGUGAAAUGCGUAGAGAUUAGGAGGAACACCAGUGGCGAAGGCGGCUCUCUGGUCUGUAACUGACGCUGAGGAGCGAAAGCGUGGGUAGCGAACAGG
rnacentral:rRNA from 1 species